rnacentral:lncRNA from 1 species
UGUCUGUGCUUGCCCUUCCUAGUGUCUGGAGUUCUCCUUUGGACAUGUAUCCUUUCUUUCCUCUCUUCUUGUCUUUACUUGAAGUCUCCUUAUCUUUGACACUUCUCCUGGAAACUCAUGGAAACUUCAUCUUCUAUUCACAGCUUACAAUAUUGAUUUUUAACUCUUAUUGAAAUGUCCUAUUCUAAGAGCUAGGCAUAAUAGAAACUGAGUUAUUGCACGUAUGGCUUACACAAAACUAAGGAUAGAGAAUAACAAGUUCAAGGCCAUCCGGACCUACACAGAGAAGUCCCAUCUCAAAAAAAAAAAAAAAAAAAAAAAAAAAAAAAAAAAAACCAACCUCAUUCUAUAAUAUGUGAAUUUUUCACUUACCUGAUUUAAAUACUGCUCUAUCCUCUGAAGCAUAAGCUCUUUCCUCUAGGGUAUAAAUUCUGUAAUGUUCAUUAUGUGUGUCUUGUCUGUUCUGUCAUAGCAGACACUCCCAAAGGUCCUGAACGGAAAAGAUUCCUAAGAGUUAAAAACAAACAAAAAUAUAAGUCAGGUGAUAUAUUAUAAUAGUUGGUAUACCACAGCAGGCCCUUCCACCUGAUCUUGUUGACAUAAAUUAGCUAAUCCUCAACAAACUGGGUCAAUGACUGCCAGGUCUAUAUUCCAACCUCAAGUUUUGACUAUAUUAAAUACUUUGAAGUUACUAUAGAACUAUAUCCUCGUAAAUUCAUUCAAACUUAAAAAAUACAGCAAACAGAAAAUGCAUUUACUACAUCAAACCUACUAAAUAAUCCAUCACAGCACUACAGGGGAAUCACCUUCAAAAUCUUGUGACUGAUUCUACUAUUUCACUGCCUAUUAUCACUAGGUAGUAUUAAAUUACUGUAUUGAUGACAGAAAAGUUGAAUACGUUGCUGAAAUCAGUACAAAAAAGGCUUUAGUUAAAUGAAGGCAGAGGUAAACCUGUCUGCUUUGCAGAAUUCUGCCUAACCAUAUCACUCAUUGUACAAAGAAAAUGUUUUGAUAGUUCGGCACUGAAAUCUGUUUUUAAUAACAAUAAAAAAGUACUCCAGGACUGGCUAUUAUUCUUAGAAGACAGCUUUGUUGUUGACUUAUUCAAGCAUAGAGUUACAUUAUGAUAAUUUUCACAUCAGAUGUCCUUUGCAUAGUCAAGUACAAAAGGAAGGAGCCCUGGGCUGACUGAAAACAAAGCAUCAGCUCUGACAGGGUGGAGGUAGUAAGGAGUAUUCAGAGCUCCUGGUCAUGCUCAUGGCCCAGGAGAAUGCCUGCUUGGAAGCUACUCAACCCUUUCUUCACAAGAUCAGCUCAAUUUUACCCUCCAUCUUGAUUUUGUGUCUCAGAUGCACAAGACUAGAUUCUGAGGGAUAAACUGUAAUGACAAAGAGAACUGUAUCUUCAAGUGCCCAUAUUAUGUUUCCUGACUAUUGAGCUAGAACCAUCCUCUAAGAAUAAACUCAUCACCUUCAGAACCAAUUGUUCCCCAAACUAAGCAGGGUCCAUCAAAUUCGGAAGAGAGUGUCAAAUGGCAAAGGAACUUCUAAGAACAGUAUUAUUACAAUGGUCAGUGAGGUUUUCUCUUCUCCAAGAAAAAGAAACAAAAAGUUCUAAGGCACAUUCAGAAUCGUGCACCUUAAUGUUCCUGUUCCUCCUCACAAGUCUGGUUCAUCUGUUAUUUGGAGUUUCCCAUAAGGGAGAAUUCAUAGACAGGUUAUUCCUUCUUUCCUGGAUCUGGUGGUCCACACAUCAGCAAAUGCAUAUCAGAUAAUGAAUACUAAGCUAGGGUCUUUCACCACAAACAAAGCAGGGACUCUUGGUGGGUUUGGGGUCACUGCAACUUGAUUCUCUUACUGGGAAUCAGCAGACCCUAAAUUUCUAUUAACCAUACUUAGGACAACUUAAACUAAUAAAUAUUGCUAAUUGUUCUUUCCCUUAGGAAAAAGAAACUCACUCUAAACUAGAAACUGCAGCUUUCUUUAAGGAUGGGAUUAUGAAAAUUUCUCAUAUUUUUUUUACUUGUAUGACUUGGAUUUUUAAACAGAAAAUGUAUAUUGUUUCAACAAUUCAUAAAACAUUUACAUGCUCAGUCUUUUGUAUUAUAUUUUUAGCUUUUAAAAGACAGUGUCUCUUGAUUUUUUUUUUUUAAUAUAUACCAGGCUAGACUUGAACUUACAAGAUAUCUGCCUGCCUAUGCCACCUAGGUACUUAAAUUAAAGACAUACAUCCCAUGCCCAGUUUUCUAGUUUUUAUAUAGUCUUUACCUAUGAAUGAUCUUGUCUUCCUCAAAAAUCCUCCAUUGAUUUUGCCUAUGAAUAAUAUUUUACCUGGUUUCUUUAUUGUUUUUAUAAGAAUUUUAUUUCUUCCAAGUGACCUAGCAGUAGCAGCUGAUUACUAGACCAACAAAGACAAUAUUAGUACCUCCCAGCAUUCAUAAAUAAUGACAGGCCCAGCCAGACAAAUGACUGACUUAUAAGAUACUAGAGAGGUGCCAGGAGUUCUUAGAAAUGAUGCAAGGAUAUUGGUCAGUAGUCAGGCUUGGGAAGGAGUAGAUCAUGUAAGGCUGCCCCUCCCUGUGUCCCAGGUCUCUUCAGAGCUUUCCUAUCAGACUUCACAGCUGUCUUGUGAAAUGCACUCUGACUAUAUUUUCCCAAGGCCACACAUACUUGAGUUCACACAAGGAACUGGAUAUAGUUGGUUGAUUGGUUGAUUGGUUGGUUGGUUGGUUGGUUGGUUGUUGUUGUUAUUGUUUGGCUGGUUGGUUUUUUGUUGUUGUUGGGUUUUUUUGUUUUUUGUUUUUGUUUUGUUUUGUUUUGUUUUUGGUUUUAAGAGAUAAUUACAUUAUCUUCAUGAUAUUUACAGAUAAAGCAUUCUUCACACAUGGAACCAUUUGGUUACAGACCAAAGAAAAAUUCUGUCAAGUCCAAUUUGAUAAAUAAAUGAGUUUGUUAGAAUUACUUAUGGGACCUUGGAUGGUUCUUGGGCAGCUCCACCACCUUAGAGUCCCAACACAAGUCAACCUUCUAACGCCUACGUCCAGAGCCACAUGUAGCUGGGGCAGGAGAACGUGAUGGUCAGAGUCUCAGACCCUCCUUUGUCCUUCCAGGAUGGCAUAUUAAAGCUUCAUCCCACUGACAGCAAUAUCAGCUAUAUUAUCCUGGUUGUUUUAGUGUCAUAACCGUGAAUAAACUCACCCACGGUUUACCUCGGCUGCUCUGCUUAGUCAUGGCCAUGGUCAUAUCACACCAGGAGAAAAAACCUACGCUCCACUCCACCUCAUGCUCUGCUUUCAUAGCUUUUCAACACCCUCUUCUAGAAUAUAGUUGUCCAUGUGAUAUGGAGUAGAGUGUUGGCUCCUUUUCCAUUAAGGAUGAGUAAACUUUUAAAAACUUAC